UGAAGCUUUCAUCUCAUAUUGUAGGUGAUAAACUGUGGAGCCUGGAUGCUAUUUCAUUGAUGCAUUGUUGGUUCCAGCUAUGGAAAAUGCAAGCACUUCAAAGUUCUCGACCGUAAAAUGGUGGACAGAUUUAAAAAUUUUGGCGGAGUUCGAAUAGAAAGCGACGUGCUUGUAACGGCCAACGGUAGCAAUAACAUGACGAAAGUUCCUCGAGAAACAUGGGAGAUCGAAGCUGUCAUGGCAGGGGGACCAUGGCCACUCAACAAGGCCUCUGGCUAAUACAUGAGAAUGCGGGGUCCGGGAAGAUCUCCCUCUAUCAGCCGUUCCAGGGUGCUGCUUAAUAAACGUUGACAUGUUUUGGUUAUGGAUAUAAUAUAUUUUUUUUAGAUUUGUAUCUUUAUAUUACAGAAGCACAUAAACAUUUGGGAUGCUCUAGUUUCAUAUGCCUGAAAUAUGGAUCGCUUGAUGGUAAUUAUCUGAAAAAAUAAAGUUAAACGACGUCGUUUGAGA